rnacentral:rRNA from 1 species
AUUGAACGCUGGCGGCAGGCCUAACACAUGCAAGUCGAGCGAGCGCCGCACGGGUGAGUAAUGUAUGGGGACUGCCCGAUAUAGGGGGAUAACUACUGGAAACGGUAGCUAUACUGCAUACUAUCGGAUAACCCAUAUGGGAUUAGCUAGUAGGUGGGGUAAUGGCUCACCUAGGCGACGAGCCCUAGCUGGUCUGAGAGGAUGAUCAGCCACACUGGGACGGAGACACGGCCCAGACUCCUACGGAGGCAGCAGUGGGGAAUAUUGCACAAUGGGCGCAAGCCUGAUGCAGCCAUGCCGCGUGUAUGAAGAAGGCCCUAGGGUUGUAAAGUACUUUCAGUCGGGAGGCGUUACCGACAGAAGAAGCACCGGCUAACUCCGUGCCAGCAGCCGCGGUAAUAC